GGGGACGUAACUCGCGAGUGGGGUACGGUCAAUUAGACAUGGUGCGAUAAGUUCGACGUUAAAUGAGAAAACGCGACGCAUGUCAAGGAUUUCUUGUGCAAGAAAUGGCACGGGAGGAAAAAUCGAGCGGCGAGGUCGCCGCUGGAUUAUUUUUCGUAUAAUUCCCAUCUUAUUCACGGUAUAAUAGACGAGUGAUUCACUUGAGAAUCACCACGGAUCUUUGUGGUAAAAUGACAACAGGAAACACAUUCACGAACAUUUAUCCGAGUCUCAAGGAGGAGGGCUCGGUCUUGGGAGGCGCCACGCAGAGAGUUACGAGCUCGGAGAUAGGGUACGCCGGUUCACCACCGAGGGAUAUACUCGCAAGGGGACGCAGCAUAGACUCGGUGGACAGGCCCUUUCAUCCCAGCGACUGGGUGGACGUUAAUCUGGAAGUGUCCGGCCCUCCAAGGGCGAGUUCGGUCCUCACGAAUUCGACCGUCGACACUAGUCCUUAUCCCGCUACUACACCUACGUCCAGCUGCUCCAAUAUGAAGAACGUCACUCCCGUGCCACCGCCGAGACGUAAAAAGAGAAACCGGGGCAGACCCCUGCCGCCGAAACCGGACGAGAUUCCUGAGAACGCGACCAGCAAUUUGAGAUGCGGCGACGCGGCGAGCGAGGAACCGUUACGUUCCCCAGCCAGGUCGCCGAAGAUCAACGAUGCUGACGACCAGGACAACGAUGCCGAGACACGAACGACCGGACGCAUCUCCACGGAAGACGCGAGGCAUGAAGGGCGAAGGAUGAAGGAGAUCUAUGAGCACAAGGUUAACGGUACCGGAAGGAUAAUAUCUAGCGAUGUGGUUUCCGGCAAGAGGACGUCCGCCGACAAGAAAACUUCGAGGACUUCGGAGCCGAGCCACCAUCACAGGAAAGUUGUCGAGAACGACGAAUACGAGAGAUUCGCCUGGAGCCAGUCGAUUAAGGACUCUUCGACCCCUAAUCGCCAGGACAGACGGAAGUCGAAGGAGCUCGAGAAGCGGAUCAAAGAUUCCUCGAGGGACGACGACAGACCGGAAGCAAAUACAAGAACGAAGAACUACAGUACCGUCAGCCUGCCGAAUUACGAUGAGUUGGACGUGUCUAGGCAUCCUGCGAAAAGUACGACGAAGGACGAGAGAGGCAUGGGGGAGAAAAUGAAGUCGAAGAGACCCGUCAGAAGCAGUACCGGCUCGCUUCCGGCCGAAUCUUUUCUGUCGCCCUUCUCCGAGAAAACCAGCGUAUGCCUGGAGGACUAUAUCCCGCGUCGUGGCAGCAUCGAGCACUUGUCGCCGUACCAAGUGCUGGGGAAGCUGGGAUCCAGCGAGAACGAGGUCAUCGACGGCGGAUUCAUGAAGUACGAUCCGAGUAAAUUGGAGGAUUGGGACCUCAGCGACAUCAGUAAUUGCGACUCGAACCGGCGCACCUCCGCCGAGAAUUUGCCGCGGAUCGAAAUUUACAGCGACAAGUCCGCGGUAAGAGGACCUUCUGCGGGUGCGGACGUUGUCGACUACUCGCGGAAUGCUGAAACCGGCGAGGCCGAGACGAGCGAGGUCGAGAUCUCGUGCGUCCUUCGUGAUAUGACCUCGCCGCUGCAGAAGCCUGAGACUUUCGGCAAAGCAGCGUCGCCGAUGCCCGAUUCUGAUAAACAGUCCAAGUAUCCCGACGACUUGCUCGCAGAUCAGAACAGUUCGUUGAAGUAUUUCGAGCCUCCUAAGAUGUCGGAAGUCUGUCAAAUAUCACCGGUUUGUGAGCUAGCAUCGUCGCCAGGUCGUAGGGAACCAUUUUUCUUGAACGAGGAACUGCACCGCUCGGUUUUGGAUACGAUCGGAGGGUCCUGCAGGAACGGCGCCGUCGUCCGGGAAUCCGAUCGAUCGGCUGGCCAAUCGAGGUUGAUCUUCGGCCGCAGCCUGUCGAACGAGAGCGAGCCUUACGACGAGCCGUAUGAAUCCAAGGAGCUGCGUGCGCAUUCCGACGUAACGAGCAAACUGAUCAGGACGAUAUCGGAGGAGUCGCUGCCAAGGGAAAUGCUGGAGGGGGUGGACGAGGAGGUGAUCGUCGACUUCUUCGACGAGGGUUUGGCGAAGGACGCGACGGGCAACUCGGUGAAAGAUGGCCAUCCGGAUCAGCCGGCGAGAACACCGCCGCCGAGUCCGGAGCCGAAGAUCAAAGCUCAGAUUCUGGACAACGAUCACUCGAGUUUGCUGAAGGUACUGAAUGAUGAGGCAGCAGUCGAUGGGAGCAAUCUCAGCUCGAUGACGCCGAGCCUCACCGAGCUGGAGGUGGCGCUCUCGGAUAUGCUGGAGAAGGAGGAUCAGCCUGACGAAAGCGCCAAGAGCGAGAACACGAACGGAGAUUGCAAGCAGAUCCUUGCCGAGAGGAUUCUCGAGCCGAGGAUCGUCCCUGUGGAGAAGCGCAAUGCGAUUGACGAAAUAAUGGAUCGUCCAACGACCAAUGACGCUCUUCUAGCUGAUAGCGCGCCCGAACGCAAGACAGAUCAGUCAUCCACAUCCUUGGAGCAGAUUCUCGGAGACUCGGACUCGACCCCGAAGACGAGGAAGGUAUCCUUUUGCAUCUGGGAAGAGAGGGUCAUGACGGAAGUCGAUCUGAAAAACGACGAGAAACCGGAAACAAGCGAGAGCACGUGCGGCGCCGCGGCUAGUGCUAUUUCCAAAAAGCUAGGAUCGAGUUGCGACUUCUUCGAGAAUCUGGGGGAGGUCAAUGCGAAGGAUAAAGUCAGCACAAAGUCCGUCGGAGAAGCGCCCGAGAAACCGGACAGGUUGUUUCACAAUUUGGAUGAUGCAGCGGAGAUAUUGCAGCAGAUCCCGACGCCGCCACGAAGAAGAAACAGGAGCUCGGGCGUCAUGAAGGAACCGGUCAGGAUUGUAGAAAGUCACCACGAAGAACCUGACCCGUAUCCCAACGACAGACUCAUUUAAUAAUUUUUUAUCGCACGUGAUUUAGCAGCUUAGCAGUCUUGCUGUUAAAUUCAUCGUACGCGACGAUGCAAGGUUCUGAAGAUCCUUUUGUGCCAACCCAAUACAUCUAACUCGUUAAAUUGUAAUUAUUACAUCACACGAGUGGUUCAAAUUUAUAUCGGAAUUUAUUUGUGGCGGUUAAAUUCCGACGUAAGUCUGAACUCUUGUAAGUUCGUAACCAUCGGUAUGCAGAUUAAUAAAGAAGAACAAAGAGCGAGAAUA